rnacentral:rRNA from 1 species
AAUGAACGCUGGCGGCGUGCUUUACACAUGCAAGUCGAGCGAGGCGGCCCGCAAGGGCCAGUCGAGCGGCGAACGGGUGAGUAACGCGUGGAUACCUGCCCUGAGGUGGGGAACAACCAGGGGAAACUCUGGCUGAUACCGCAUGAUACCGAGAGGUCAAAGGGGGCUCGCAAGGGCUCUCGCCACAGGAGGGGUCCGCGUCCGAUUAGCUAGUUGGUAGGGUAAUGGCCUACCAAGGCGACGAUCGGUAGCCGGCCUGAGAGGGUGAUC